rnacentral:ribozyme from 1 species
AAACAGUACAUGUUAUUAGCUCAGGGGGAUUUCGUUACCUGUUUACUCGAUUCAGUGGCUCCAGAGUUGAAGAAGAGAGCGAAUCAGAUAUUUAGACACAA